UUCAGGGCCUUCGGAGAAUACGCAGAAUGUGUAAGUGCCACACUUUUGAAGGCAACAAUGUUUGGCUCCUUGCCUAACGAUAGAGGCAGAUAUCAUGGGAGCCCAGGAGUGCGUGUGACCCCUACAGCCAGCACUAAUGAGUAUGGUAUUUUUACGCUGGGGACAAAGAGUUAAGACUAUAAACAGUAUCCUAUCUCUGGGUUUUAAGCAACUUUUUAACAGGUUUUUUAGAAACUUAGACUAAACUUUUCUUGUAUUGAGUUUUAAAGCUAUUUUGCGAGCUAAUUACAUUAGGAACUAACGCAAAGGAAAUUAUGUCUUGGAACUUUGCAACCUUUUACACUUUCUACUUUGGUAGUUGGUUAUAAAUGAGGGUGGUGGAUGAUGGUGGGCAGGACCAGUGCAGUAGUAUUUGACUUAUAUGACCGAAUGGAAAAGGGACAACCACUGAUCUCAUUAUGCAUUAAAAUAUAAGCAUAUAAUUUAAUGAUGGCACUGUGUAACCACCACUGAUGUCAAGAAAGAAAAGACUGCCAGCCUUCCACAUGUUGGUUCCUAGUUACGGCCCUUAUCCCCACAGGUAACCACUAUUGUGACCUGCAGAGUAAUUCCUUUUUUUAUACCCAUGCUCCUCAAAGCAUGGUCUGGCAUGAGCAUCAUCUGGGAACUUGUUAGAAAUGCAAAUUCUUGGGCCCUCCCCUAGACCUAACACAUGUACACAUUUUUGUGUGUAGGAUGCAUAUUUAUGUGAAUUAAAGUAUAAAGCAGUAAUUCUCAAGCUUUAGCAUGUAUCAGCUUGGAUGGCCCAUUAAAACAGAGAUGCUGGGGCCUACACCGACGGUUUUUGAUGAUCUCUUUAUGGUGGUUUUAUUCCCUGAUUCUAAUUUUCUUAUGUGCUGGGUAUCUUUGACUCUGUGCUAGUCAUUGCACUUGACAUGUUAUUUUGCAGGAAUAACUAACUGUGAGGCCUAUAAAGAAGGUACUUUACCCCAAAGAGCAUUUGCAUUUGCUUCUGCCAGGCACCUGGGGGCGCCAUCAGUCUGGGAUCGCCUGUUCAGAGUUUGAUAUAUCCUGGACAAUGCAAGGGAUUUUUACCAUGUUUUAAUUCUCUUUAGAUUAUUCCAAUUCUUGCUCCCUUCAUUCUGAGAUCCUGGAACCCAGGUUGUUGUAGGGGAAGGCCUCCUGUCAGGUCCCCCAACUUGUAUGGAUCUAGAGUUAGUUCUCUUCUAUACCCUGAAAGGCCAUAAAACGGGAGGUUCUAGUUUUCUGGGAUUAGCUAGUGCUAUCAGGACAAAAGUGGCUUCAGGCUUGUUCCCUUCUCUAGAUCCUUGACUUCUCUUUACUUUCGGCCUGAUGAUUCCUUGCUAUUUUAUAAUCUCUUUGAUGCCUUUGAAAAGAUUAUUUAAAUAUAUUUUAUCCAGUCUUUUUAGUUGUAUUCAGCUGUAGGACUGAUGUGAACAACCUGAACCAAACCUUUACCAAAAGGGAAAUCUGGAAAAUACAUUAUUAAUACACAGUAUUUUUUCAAAAUACUGUGGUUUUUCAAAACAUUAAGAAUCUAUGGAUAUUUAUAUCCUUAAAAAAAAACUUUUAUCUUUAGCUGACAACUUCACCCAGACAUGGGACACACAAGAUGGUUUGGGUACAAAACUUUCAAUAUGAAAAGCUUGCAUAUUUACAACUUUUAACCACUCCUAAAGGCUCUGAUAUUUCUGGUGGGUUCCGAGGAAUGCUUCCCACAAAUGCAGAGCCUUCCAAAAUGCAGAGAUAUGCCUAGUGCAGGCUCCAUUUUGCAGUUUAUGGCACUUUCUAUGAGGUUUAAUUUUACCCUUAGCUUUAAACAGUCUGGACACACCAAAUUUAGGAAACAUAGAUGGCUUACACAUUUAUCCCUAGGACAUGGGAUAGCAUGUGGAAUGCCCCAAAUUUUUACCGGCAAGUUCUAAGCACUUGAUGAAUUUUAACCACCUCUCUCUCCCCCACAAAAAGUAGGUUAUAUCAUCUUUUUCCUCCCUGAUUGACUCCAAUGUCAUGUUGAUCCCUUAAGAUAGGCAAGAUUCUCAGGGAGAAAGUACCCCAUCUCAACCCAUUGCUGAUGAAUCAGAAUACAUUCUUUCUGGGUAGAGCUAAAUCUUUUAUAGUUAUCUUUAGAUAUAUUUUGAAGGGGUUUGGAGAUGGCAAUACACUAAUGCUACACACGUGAAUUUGGGAAGGAAACUGGCAGGCUUUCCAGAUGUCAAGAGAUUGUUGGGAAUUUGGUGAGAUACUUUAUUUUGAACACUCUCACUGGGGUUGACAAUUAGGAUGUGUAGCAAUCUGUGUAGGCUAGGCUUGAGGUAGGAAUCAACAAACUCUGAGAGCUAUUUGUAGAGUCCUUUAAAGAUACUUGACGGUCAUUUGAUGAGCGUCAGGAUCCCCUGAAGGUGGUAAGGCUUGCUUGCAGUGGAGCCCAUGACCCCUGUAAGUUGUGGGUCAGGAUAAAUGCCAGAUUUUAAUCUUCAUGGUAGCAAGCAUUAGCUCCUCUCAGAUAAAGGCUAUAACCCAACUAGUUAGAGCAGAGAAUGCCUUAAGGCUGUAGAGCACAUGCUGCUCCCCAGUGCCUUUCUUUUCCUUCCCGAAGAUGUGCCCAAAAUCUAUGGGCUUAUGGCACGAGUGCAGGAUGGGCCUCCCACCAGGUCAGAGGGACACUGAGUCUCCUGAGUCUGUGUUUUUCUUUAUCAGUUCAUAGAAGAUGAUGUUCUAGCUACCUUGUUGCUGAACCUAAAGUUCAUGUUUUGAGUACAGACUUUCAAACUAUACCAUAGGAUGCAGGAACUUUAUAGUUCAGAGGUACAAAUAAUGGUUGGGGAAAGGGUGCUUUGUAUAUAACACGGGGCUUUCAAACCAGGGGAUUUCUUAAGUUACAAUAUUUUUAAAAAGUCAUGACCCGCCACAAUCCACAUGACUUUUGUGUGGACCAGCACAUUGAUCUCCAGACCAACAUGAUGCCAUCAUUCAUUAUUUUCACAUAACUCGUCCCUUAAAAUAGAAAUAUUGCUUUCACAAAUAAUAAACUUCCUUAUUAUAAAUUCCUACUUUACUAAAUGGUAUGGAGAACUAGGACCACAUGGAAGUCCGCUCAGUUUAACCAUUUACUUAUGGACGUAUGUUAUUGAAUCCCAAGUGUUUGGGCAGUGGUCUGGGAUGUAGGCAUUUUCCCUGUUUAAUAAUACAUGCCCCUUCUCCCUCCCCAGCUAAAAUAUAAUCUUAAGGACAUGUGGAUAUAGACAACCAUAUAUCUUAUGGUUACCAUUUCUUCAGCAUUACUGUUGCAUAGCUGGUCAUCUAUAGCUCUAUCACUGAUCUCUGAAGUAGCCCUAUCAAUCUGAACGUUGGAAAUUAUAUAGAGAGCCUUCCAUUUAUCAUCCCUUUUAAACGUAGCCUUUGUGUAGGCUAUCCAGCUUCUGGACUUUGCCUGGUUUUUUAUUCAGUACCAUGAUUUACCAUCCCUCAAUUGUUAUAGAAUAAAGUAUGUACCUCUAGCAGUUGGGCUAUGUAUUAUUCUGUAUCUGCAGCCUCUAGGCUAAUUAGAUAACUUGGUAUAUAGCCAAACAAGUGAUUUAGUAUCUUCUUGAGGAAAUUCAAUUACUACAGGUGCUCUGAAUCACCUGAGAUGUCUAGGGCAAUGACUGUGAUCAUUCAAAGUAAAACUCAUAUAAUCAGUGUUUUUUUUUUUAAAUGUACACACACACACACACACACACACACACACACACACACACACACUAGAAUGAGGACUAUUUGCUUGCUGGCUGUAACCUUAUUUAAAUUGGUAUUAUAGCUAGCCCUUCCAUAAUUAAUCUUCACUGUCUUCAGUGCAGGUAGCAGAAUCCUCUUUGUGUUUCUUUCAGAAAGUUUCCAUGCAGAGUUAGCUCCAGCUACAGCAAUAUGUCAUAGGCAUUGAACUUUGGGGCAAUGACUGGUCAGAGCUCCAAGCCAAAGAGUCCCCCGAAGAGAGCACUCUACUCACCUUCCUCACUGGGAACUAAUACCUGGAAUAGUACCAUACACAUCUUUGUCAUACUGAACUUCUUUGUCUUACUAAAAUAAAGUUUUCUUUAAGAAGACUCUUCAGUGAGGAUGACUUUAAGAACAUGGCCAGGACAACCAGUGUUCUCAAGGGAGGAGAUGGCAGACUCAUUGGUUUGGCAGCAGCCCAGGCCAGUUUUUCCCCUGCAACUUUCCAAGCUUGUUUCUGUAGUGGUUGGAGCCAAAUAACCACUCGUAGACUUUGUUAUAGAAGGAAUGGUGAAGUCCUAUACAAAGAGCAGAAUGGGGUCAGCUAGAUGCUUUCUAUAGGUAGCUAAACUCAUCAUUUAGUCAAACUAGGAUGAACUGUGAUAGGCAGCUAAAGGUUCUUUUCUGUGUGGGGAGAAAAGGAGAGGAUGGGGCAGAGAUAGUAUUGUAUCUUCCCUAUUUGUAUUACCUAUUCAGUGUUUUCAGGCCUGUUCUCUCUGUUAGCCUGUAGACUCCUGCAAGGGUACUUGUGACUUGCUGUUCCUGAAACAUUUGUGUCUCAACCACACCCCACACUAGACCCCACCUUCCAUAGCCGCGCGUCUGUUACUUGCACAUAAAGCCUCUGUUCCCAAAUGUUCCCAGUGGAGGAAGUGGCCUAAUUUGGGGUCACUGGCUUCCCUCUAGGGGCAGUUGUCUUGGAACUGUCUGAAGUUUGAACAUAGGGUUGAAGGGCAGACAGUAUGGUUAACAAUCUUAUUAUUUCUCUUGGUAUUUCCUUACCAUGACAGUAAAGGUUGCCCAUCAAUUUGGGCCUCUUUUGGCCUGUCUUUUAAUAGCCAGACCAACCGGUCUUUCCACUGAGAACCUCUUUUUUUCUCUUUUUUAUAUCCCCCCACCCAUUUUCUUUUGGUUAUUUGGGGUGCUGAAAUUCCCAGAAGUCUUCCUAAGCCAUCUUUUCCAAAAUUAUGCAUAGAGACUGCUAGUUACCUACCACUCUAGUCAUUCUUCUUAUGAACAGAAAAAAAAAAAAAAUACAUUGUCUGUCCUCCACUACCAGUAAGGAUGACACAGUGUGACACAGUCUUGUCAAUGAGGGGUAACUAAAUGUGUUAAGAGAAGUUUCUAGUAAAGCUCCUUAAAAAGAGGUAACUUCAGAGCACACACACUUUUGCUCUAAUUUCUGCCCCUUCUUCCUGUCUGUAUCUUAGGGGAGAUGCUAGACACGGAACAGGCAUCUUGUAACAAUACAACCAUGUGAGAAAAGCCAAGUGAAAAGCUUGGGUCACCUCUGAAAAGACUGGGUUAACAGGACACAUAGGCACUGUGUGUGAACUCAAAACUGCAUAAUUUUUGCACACUGCCACCAUCCCUGCUGCCUUAGGUUGUAAAGAAAACAAAUCCCUUUGUGUACAACAGAUCUGUACUGCUCUUAUAUCUCUAACACUGUUUGCGGGAGGACUGUGCUGCCAUAAUUUACUCUUACCAUCUGCGACUUAGACAUUUUUUUACACCUAAAUUCUUUAAAAAAUAGCCGUGUGUACCUCUUUGCUGUAAGUUCAAAACUUGACAUUUCUUAUCAAUGGAAGGUCUAAGAUCCUCCAGUGGAGUACAGGUAUACAAUUUGAAAACAAUUUGGUUGGCAAUAAGUUCAUUAAUUUUGACAAUUAGACUUUAAAAAUUAGUACCACAUAUAUGUUAGAAUAGUAGUACUAUAAAUGUACCAUGAAAUGGUUUUGUAACACAUUACCAAUUUUAAAUGUGUAGAUCCAUAUUUUAAGUUUUGUGGAGAUGAAUUACUCUCUUUUUAGAUCCCUAUUUAUUUUCAGCCAGUCAUUCCAGCUUUGUAUUAUUUGUAAUAGUGAAACACUGAAACAGGUUCAGACCUAAAAAUAUAAAGGGUUAUUGCAACAGCUUACGGAGUUACACAAAAGUUAUGUAUUACUUAAUUGUGGCCACAAAAUAAAAUCUACAACUCCCUCAGUUUACAGAAAGAUCACUUCUGUAUGCACAUAUAUAUUAUCAAGCCGUUACUGUUAUUUUCCUAGAUAAAUGGGCUAAUAGAAUCUUUUAGUGUCCUAUUUAAUUUUUCUGUAAUGAACUGUUAUUAACUUUUCAUAAGAACGAUUUUUAAAAAUGAAAAGACUUCCUCUUGAUGGACAUUUAACAAGAGAAACAAAAAGUGUUGCUGAGAAAUGAAGAGCAUUCAGGAACAGCAGGAACCAGUGGACGCUCACUUUUGCUGCUGAGAUACCAUCACCGAUGACCCAGACUGCUCCAGGCUCAUGAACUGCUCCUGAGCUGCUUGUAGGACCUGCGUGGCCACGAGCCCUGGUUGCAAUGCCAGAGAUGCCCUCUCAUGUCUGCCUUUACUUCCACAUGUUGCCUUGCCCCAUCCCAUGCUCACGUGUCUCUCUGAUGCUUAAAAAGUGUGUUUUCGUGUAUUCAAUAAACGCUAGAAUUUGAGUUAUAUGCCAAA